GGUCCGUUGGCCCAAUGGUAAGGCGUCUGACUACGACUUCGAUCGAAGAGUCAAUCAGGAGAUUCUGGGUUCGACCCCCAGGCGGACCU
rnacentral:tRNA from 1 species